CAGGACUGAGUGAAGAAAAAGUCACAGCCUAAGCUGCAGCGUUUUUCAGGCAGGGCUUCCUCCCUGAGCUGAGCCAGGCCCAACCCAGAUCAUGGGAAAAUUCUAUCUUUUUUUUUACUCUCUCUCUUUUUGAAUAUAUUCAAAAGGUGAACAGAAGUAUUUUGCUGUCAUAUUAAUAAUACAUAAAAUUUUUUUCAAGAGAAAAUCAGCUUUUACUUUGGUAAUAGUGUAUUAUCAAUACUAAAGCUAAUUUUAAUAAACCUUAUAAAUAAAUCAAAUUUGUCAUUUUUGACCACUCCGGUUUUACAUGUAUAUUUUGUAAUCUCUUGUAAUUUUUAAAAACUGUUUACAUUUUAUUUUUAUCCAAAUUCUUUUUAUUUUUUCAAUUUGAAACCACCUUUAAGUAAUUUCAAAUUGUUAUAGGAGAUAGAAAGAAGUCAUUUAGGGCCAGGUUCACUGGCAAGUGCCUGUAAUCGCAACACUUUGGGAGGCCAAGGAAUGAGUAGCUGACUCUGGAGCCCAAGCUGUUGCUUCCCAGUCUGGUGGUGAAUCCUCCAUAGUCUGGUGAGUGUAAAUAUAUAUAUCUCUUUUCCUUUCUCCUCUUCCCAUUGCAAUUUGCUUAUUAUAUCAACAUGCUUAUUAUAUCAAUCUGGUUAUUACAUUGAUUUGCUUAUUAUAUAAUUUGCUAAUUAUAUCUGCAUUUCCAUUUACGUGGCACAAAGCUUAUUUACCCUUAAAGGUAUUGUGUGUGUGUCUUUUCUUCUCCCCUUGAAUGUUUCCCACACAGAAUAUUUUUGGCGUCACGAACAGGAUUCAAAAACCAAACUGUGCCACUUUUUGGCCACAAGGACAGGGCUGGAAACUCGAGGAAAUCCCAAAUCCAGGGAUGGGAACUCCCCAAUAUCACUGUCAAUUCCUACAGGAUUGAACGAAGGGGACGAAUGCAGAAAUGAAGACAAAGACAAAAGAUUUGUUUUAAAAGAAGGGGUCAGGCAGGGCGCAGUGGCUCAGGCCUGUAAUCCCAGCACUUUGAGAGGCCGAGGUGGGUGGAUCGCGAGGUCAGGAGAGCGAAACCAUCUUGGCUAACACGGUGAAACCCCGUCUCUACUAAAAAUACAAAAAAAUUUAGCCAGGUGUGGUGGCAGACACCUGUAGUCCCAGCUACCUGGGGGGGUGGGGGGGUGGGGCUGAGGCAGGAGAAUGGCAUGAACCCAGGAGGCAGAGCUUGCAGUAAGCCAAGAUCGUGCCACUGCACUCCAGCCUGGGUGACAGAGCGAGAUUCGGUCUCAGAAAAAAAAAAAAAAAGAAGGUAUCAGGGGCUCCUUGCUUCUAGUGAGCAGAAGGCAGCCCUGUUUCUACAGGCCUUAGUAUUUAUUAGGUAGAAUCAAUAGGGAGGGAGAGGUAAUGGUUGGUCAGCUGCUUGAUUUAUCACAGGUACAUAUAAUUGCUUUCUUUGUACAACAGGCUUCAGAUAUUCCUAUAGAUAACCACAAGGAACACUGCGCCUGGGGCAUAACUGCCCUCAGCACCCGUUCUGGCAGCAGAUGCAGUUUGUCAGUUUUCCAACAUCCUGCUUUCAUGAGAAGAGUUUUCCCAUAUAGCCUCUGUCAGGCCUCUGAGCCCAAGCCAAAUGAAAUUUGGUGCCAUGACUCGGCUCGGGGGACCUCCCUUGGGAGAUCAAUCCCCUGUCCUCCUGUUCUUUGCUCCGUGAGAAUGACCCACCUGUGACCUCAGGUCCUCAGACCGACCAGCCCAAGAAACAUCUCACCAAUUUCAAAUCCGGUAAGCGGCCUCUUUUUACUCUCUUCUCCAACCUCCCUCACUAUCCCUCAACCUCUUUCUCCUUUCAAUCUUGGCGCCACACUUCAAUCUCUCCCUUCUCUUAAUUUCAAUUCCUUUCAUUUUCUGGUAGAGACAAAGGAGACACGUUUUAUCCAUGGACCCAACUCCGGCACCGGUCAUGGACUGGGAAGGCAGCCUUCCCUUGGUGUUUAAUCAUUGCAGGGACACCUCUCUGAUUAUACACUCACGUUUCAAGGGUGUCAGACCACACAGGGACACCUGCCUUGGUCCUUCACCCUUAGCGGCAAGUCCCGAUUUUCUGAGGAAGGGACAAGUACCCCUCAACCCCUUCUCUCCUUGUCUCUACCCCUUCUCUGCUUUUCUGGGGCAGGGGCAAGAACCCCUCAACCCUUUCUCCUUCACCCUUAGCGGCAAGUCCCGCUUUCCUGGGGCAGGGGCAAGUACCCCUCAACCCCUUCUCCUUCACCCUUAGUGGCAAGUCCUGCUUUCCUAGGGGGCAAGAACCCCCCAAUCGCUUAUUUCCAUACCCUAACCUCUUAUCUCUGUGCCCCAAUCCCUUAUUUCUGCACCCUGACCUCUUAUCUCUGUGCCCCAAUCCCUUAUUUCUGUGCCCCAACACCUUCUCUGCUUUUCUGGAGGGCAAGAACCCUCCACCCCUUCUCCGUGUCUCUACUCUUUUCUCUGGGCUUGCCUCCUUCACUAUGGGUAAGCUUCCACCUUCCAUUCCUCCUUCUUCUCCCUUAGCCUGUGUUCUCAAAAACUUAAAAUCUCUUCAACUCACACCUGACCUAAAACCUAAAUGCCUUUUCUUCUGCAAUGCCACUUGACCCCAAUACAAACUCGACAGUAGUUCCAAAUAGCCAGAAAAUGGCACUUUGAAUUUUUUCAUCCUGCAAAAUCUAAAUAAUUCUUGUCGUAAAAUAGGCAAAUGGUCUGAGGUGCCUGAUGUCCAGGCAUUCUUUUACACAUCAAUCCCUUCCUAGUCUCUGUGCCCAGUGCAACUCGUCCCAAAUCUUCCUUCUUUCUCUCCCACCUAUCCCCUCAGUACCAACCCCAAGCAUCACUGAUUCUUUCUAAUCUUCCUUUUCUACAGACCCAUCUGACCUCUCUCUUCCUCCCCAGGCUGCUCCUCACCAGGCCGAGCUAGGUCCCAAUUCUUCCUCAGCCUCCGCUCCUCCACCCUAUAAUCUUUUUAUCACCUCCCCUGUAGGGGUGGGUUGCCCCUCCACACCUGUGGGUGUUUCUCAUAAGGUGGAACAAGAGACUUAGGAAAGAAAAAGACACAAAGUAUAGAGAAAGAAAUAAGGGGACCCGGGGAACCAGCGUUCAGCAUAUGGAGGAUCCCCCCAGCCUCUGAGUUCCCUUAGUAUUUAUUCAUCAUUCGUGGGUGUUUCUCCAAGAGGGGGAUGUGUCAGGGUCACAAGACAAUUGUGGGGAGAGGGUCAGCCGACAAACACGUGAACAAAGGUCUUUGCAUCAUAGACAAGGUAAAGGAUUAAGUGCUGUGCUUUUAGAUAUGCAUACACAUAAACAUCUCAAUGCUUUACAAAGCAGUAUUGCUGCCCGCAUGUCCCACCUCCAGCC
rnacentral:lncRNA from 10 species